rnacentral:rRNA from 1 species
GAUGAACGCUGGCGGCGUGCCUAAUACAUGCAAGUCGAGCGAACGGACGAGAAGCUUGCUUCUCUGAUGUUAGCGGCGGACGUGUGAGUAACACGUGGAUAACCUACCUAUAAGACUGGGAUAACUUCGGGAAACCGUAGCUAAUACCGGAUAAUAUUUUGAACCGCAUGGUUCAAUAGUGAAAGACGGUCUUGCUGUCACUUAUAGAUGGAUCCGCGCUGCAUUAGCUAGUUGGUAAGGUCACGGCUUACCAAGGCAACGAUGCAUAGCCGACCUGAGAGGGUGAUAGGCGACACUGGAACUGAGACACGGUCCAGAGUCCUACGGGAGGCAGCAGUAGGGAAUCUUCCGCAAUGGGCGAAAGCCUGACGGAGCAACGCCGCGUGAGUGAUGAAGGUCUUCGGAUCGUAAAACUCUGUUAUUAGGGAAGAACAUAUGUGUAAGUAACUGUGCACAUCUUGACGGUACCUAAUCAGAAAGCCACGGCUAACUACGUG